UCCCCUGUUACGGUCAGCCUCCUGUCCUCUGCCUUCCGAUGCGGCUGCUCUGGACGCAGAGGGAGAGAGGGCCCGGGCAGUUGAUCCACAAGACACUCCCAGAAACAUACUACCUUUUGAAACCAGAGACAAGGAUGAGGCCUUGCCAGGUUCCGCCCAAGAUUAAAGAUGACUUACAAGAAUACACAAAAUCCAAUAAGAUAGCAUAAAUUGACAGGAAGGAAGGAGAAGAAAACCAGGGUGUGGACAGAGUUGAUUCAGAAAUUCAAUUAUCUGAAAAGCUCACUUCUGUGGAACACCUCGCUCGUGGUCAGAUCAUGGGACCCCACAACUAGUAUUACUAAUUACUCAGUCAUUUUUAAAUCUGGAGAAAGGUCAAUGUUUAUCUUCUGAAUAUAAACAUCAAAUUGAAACUGGAAGAAAAAAAAGAAAACAUUGGUUUAAGUCAGAGAAAAUAUAAUAAUAAAAACAUGCAUUCAAUAAGCUGUCAGUUUAAACUUUUAAAAA